rnacentral:lncRNA from 1 species
CAUGUCCCACUAUGCCAUCUCAAAUCUUCUUUUCUGAAUUCAGGUUUCGUCUUAAUUGCGGAAAAAGUGACACAGCUGCACUAUAGAAAGAAUGAGAGACUGACAAAGAAGCUGCAUAACUUUUCCAGUGUCGUACAACUGGAUUUGGGAUCCAGAUGAUUCACCUCCAGAACCCUGGCCUUCACCAUACUGAGGGAACAACAUUGAAAGAUUGGCCCCAUGCUGAAAUGCGCCUGUAAAAAUAAAUAAGAAACUUCAGAUGUAUACA